GAGAACUGACAAAGCCAAGAAUUAGCCCAUUAAUUUCCCUUUCAACGCGGUAGAAGUGAUUCAGUGUAUAAAUGGCAAAGGACGUGAGAUCUUCAACCGUUCAGGACCUUUGCACCUAAAAUCAGUGGACUGGGGAAAUCCCGACCAUAUAAGAUCCAUUCUUGCAAGCUUAAUACAGGGUGUGAAAAUCCAACAACGCGAUCGCAAGAAGAAGCGCCUUGAGCCUCAAUUUCAAGCUCCUCCUUGGUGGACCACCUUCAAUUUCAAGCUUGUUGACAGUCUAGUCGACCCAGACGACAACUCCAUCUUUGGUGCUAUUUAUGAACUCCAGUCCCUCACUUGCAAUGCCCCGAAAUAUGUAGUUGCUUUUCGUGGCACACUACUCAAGAAGGGCACUGCGUUGCGUGAUCUAGAGCUGGACCUCAAGUGCGUGCUGAACAAUCUCCACUAAACCUCACGCUUCGAGCUUGCAAUGCAGACCGUCAAGAGCACAGUUUCUGAACAUGGAGCUAAUAAUGUCUGGUUAACUGGAUAUUCUCUGGGGUCAGCUAUUGCAUUGCUUGCAGGUAAAGAAAUGGUCAAAAUUGACCAUCCUAUUGAAGCUUACCUCUUCAAUCCACCCUUCUUGUCUGCUGGGAUCGAAAGGAUCAUCAAUAACGAUAUGCUGAAGCAAGGGAUUCAUUUCACAAGCAGUUUUCUCAAGGAUGGACUUGCAAUUGCAAAGAAGGGUACUUCUAAUCCAGACGAGGAAUUUGUUAGAUUAUCUUCGUGGACUCCUAACUUAUUCGUGAAUCAGGCCGAUCUUAUCUGCUGUUCAUAUAUUGCUUAUUUCGAGGUCCUAAAGAAAUUG